rnacentral:lncRNA from 1 species
GCCUGUAGUCCCAGCUACUCAGGAGCAGGAGAAUUGCUUGAACCCAGGAGGUGGAGGUUAAAAUGAGCCCAUAUGGUGCCACUGCACUCCAGCCUGGGUGACAGAGAUUCUAUUUCAAAAAAAUAAAAAUAAAUAAGACCCUUACCCAGUAAAUUAAAUCAAAGCUGAAAGCCUUCAUUUGAAUCUAAAUAAUAUAAUCCACAACUCCUCUUUACUACUAUUAAAAGACACAAGGUCCUCCAAAUUGCUUAACAUUAGUCAUCAGCAGCAGCUGUAGAUGUGGGAGUAGAGGGAGCUCAAAAGGAGCAGAGCUGGAAUACAUGUUUGUCUCCUCCUAUUUUACUGCUAGCUCAGUAGUUAGAGCUGUCUGCGCCCUCCUCCUCGCACAGGUGG